rnacentral:rRNA from 1 species
CUUUAUUGGAGAGUUUGAUCCUGGCUCAGGACGAACGCUGGCGGCGUGCCUAAUACAUGCAAGUCGAGCGCUGGGGGUGCUCCCUUACGGGAGCCCCCUGGAGCGGCGGACGGGUGAGUAACACGUAGGCAACCUGCCUGUAAGACCGGGAUAACUACCGGAAACGGUAGCUAAGACCGGAUAGGUGGUU